rnacentral:rRNA from 1 species
GGGAAUUUUCCGCAAUGGGCGAAAGCCUGACGGAGCAACGCCGCGUGAGGGAUGAAGGCCUCUGGGCUGUAAACCUCUUUUAUCAAGGAAGAAGAUCUGACGGUACUUGAUGAAUAAGCCACGGCUAAUUCCGUGCCAGCAGCCGCGGUAAUACGGGAGUGGCAAGCGUUAUCCGGAAUUAUUGGGCGUAAAGCGUCCGCAGGCGGCCCAGAAAGUCUGCUGUUAAAAAGUGGAGCUUAACUCCAUUAAGGCAGUGGAAACUGUUGGGCUUGAGUGUGGUAGGGGCAGAGGGAAUUCCCGGUGUAGCGGUGAAAUGCGUAGAUAUCGGGAAGAACACCAGUGGCGAAGGCGCUCUGCUGGGCCAUAACUGACGCUCAUGGACGAAAGCCAGGGGAGCGAAAGGGAUUAGAUACCCCUGUAGUCA